UACGUAGGGUGCAAGCGUUGUCCGGAAUUAUUGGGCGUAAAGAGCUCGUAGGCGGUUUGUCGCGUCUGCUGUGAAAACCCGAGGCUCAACCUCGGGCCUGCAGUGGGUACGGGCAGACUAGAGUGCGGUAGGGGAGAUUGGAAUUCCUGGUGUAGCGGUGGAAUGCGCAGAUAUCAGGAGGAACACCGGUGGCGAAGGCGGGUCUCUGGGCCGGUACUGACGCUGAGGAGCGAGAGCGUGGGGAGCGAACAGG
rnacentral:rRNA from 1 species